GAUGAACGCUGGCGGCGUGCCUAAUACAUGCAAGUCGAGCGAACGGACGAGAAGCUUGCUUCUCUGAUGUUAGCGGCGGACGGGUGAGUAACACGUGGAUAACCUACCUAUAAGACUGGGAUAACUUCGGGAAACCGGAGCUAAUACCGGAUAAUAUUUUGAACCGCAUGGUUCAAAAGUGAAAGACGGUCUUGCUGUCACUUAUAGAUGGAUCCGCGCUGCAUUAGCUAGUUGGUAAGGUAACGGCUUACCAAGGCAGCGAUGCAUAGCCGACCUGAGAGGGUGAUCGGCCACGCUGGAACUGAGGCACGGUCCCGACUCCUACGGGAGGCAGCAGUAGCGAAUCUUCCGCAAUGGGCGAAAGCCUGACGGAGCAACGCCGCGUGAGUGAUGAAGGUCUUCGGAUCGUAAAACUCUGUUAUUAGGGAAGAACAUAUGUGUAAGUAACUGUGCACAUCUUGACGGUACCUAAUCAGAAAGCCACGGCUAACUACGUG
rnacentral:rRNA from 1 species